CAGCCCAGCACACUGGGAGAAUGUUCCACCAGCCAAUCUAACCAGUUCUGAGUGCAGUCAUGUCUACCUCAUUUCUUCUUCUGCAAUGCCCACUAUGGUGUUUGGUACAGGACAGACUCUCCCAAUAUUUGACCUCCAGGCCAUAUCAAAAGUGACACCAGGAUGGAAGUACUACUCACACCGUGGGACCCAGCAUAUAGGAGCUUUCUUAUCUCCUUUCCAGCUCUGGCUGCCCUGGAAUCAGCUCUAUAGAUCAAGCUGGCGUAUAACUCAAAGAGAUCCGCC